UGGGGAAUUUUGCACAAUGGGGGAAACCCUGAUGCAGCGACGCCGCGUGAUUUAGAAGGCCUUCGGGUUGUAAAAAUCUUUUGUAUGGGAAGAAAAUGACAGUACCAUACGAAUAAGGACCGGCUAAUUACGUGCCAGCAGCCGCGGUAAUACGUAAGGUCCGAGCGUUGUCCGGAAUCAUUGGGCGUAAAGGGUACGUAGGCGGAUAAGCAAGUUAGAAGUGAAAUCCUAUAGCUCAACUAUAGUAAGCUUUUAAAACUGCUCAUCUUGAGGUAUGGAAGGGAAAGUGGAAUUCCUAGUGUAGCGGUGAAAUGCGCAGAUAUUAGGCGGAAUACCGGUGGCGAAGGCGACUUUCUUGACAUAUACUGACACUGAGGUACGAAAGCGUGGGUAGCAAGCAGG
rnacentral:rRNA from 1 species